UGGUUUAAUUUGAUACAAAGCGAAGAACCUUACCAGGACUUGACAUGCCACGAAUCCUCUUGAAAGAGAGGGAUGCUUUCGAGAACGCUGACACAGGUGGUGCAUGGCCGUCGUCAACUCGUGCCAUAGGUGUUAGGUUAAGUCUCGCAACGAGCGCAACCCUCGUAUUUAGUUGCCACCGUUGAGUUUGGAAAAAAGCUACUAGCUAAACCAUAAAAGUUGGUUCAAUUUUAUAUAAAUCAGAUUAUGAACUCUGAAACUUA
rnacentral:ncRNA from 1 species